rnacentral:lncRNA from 1 species
ACAUGUAGCAUAUCUUUCAUUUUCAUACUAUUUAUUAUUCAAGAAAACCGAACACAAAAAGGGAAAAAUAAAAAAUAAAAAACUCUAGUAAUUCAGAUAUCAAAAUAAUAUAAAUAAACAAGAAUAAAUCCAAUAUGAAAGCAACUUUCGGCUAGUUUAAAAAGAAGGAAGAAAAAAAAAUGAACUUACAGAUUAUAAAAUUGAGGAAAGUUUGAUCGAAACAGGGACUUUAGCAGAUUUUCCGCGAAGGAAUGAUUGACCAACAAUAUUAUUUAAUUAAUUGGAAUCAAGAUUAGCUGGUUCUCGUUGUAUUUAGCUAAAAAUUUUGUGGCUUUUUUCCUGGUUUUGUUGGUCCGAAUCACAGUUUCAUUUCAUCAACAAAUGGGAAUUAGCAACUGGUCCUGUUAAAAUAUUGUAGUAUUGCGGUAAACACGAAGGAAACGUACGCGCGAAAUUAGCGCGUAUUAAAUACUGUCCUGAAUUUAUUC